rnacentral:rRNA from 1 species
UACGUAGGGUCCGAGCGUUGUCCGGAAUUAUUGGGCGUAAAGGGCUCGUAGGCGGUCUGUUGCGUCGGGAGUGAAAACUUACAGCUUAACUGUGAGCGUGCUUCCGAUACGGGCAGACUUGAGGUAUUCAGGGGAGAACGGAAUUCCUGGUGUAGCGGUGAAAUGCGCAGAUAUCAGGAGGAACACCGGUGGCGAAGGCGGUUCUCUGGGAAUAUCCUGACGCUGAGGAGCGAAAGUGUGGGGAACGAACAGG